rnacentral:rRNA from 1 species
UACGUAGGGUGCGAGCGUUAAUCGGAAUUACUGGGCGUAAAGCGUGCGCAGGCGGUGAGUUAAGUCCGUUGUGAAAGCCCUGGGCUCAACCUGGGAAUGGCAGUGGAUACUGGAAAGCUAGAGUGCGGUAGAGGGUAGUGGAAUUCCCGGUGUAGCAGUGAAAUGCGUAGAGAUCGGGAGGAACACCAGUGGCGAAGGCGGCUACCUGGACCAGCACUGACACUGAGGCACGAAAGCGUGGGGAGCAAACAGG